UUCCAGGAGUGAUCAGGGGACAUGUUCACAUUCAUUUAAUUCACUAGAGAGAAAUUUAUAAAUGGAUUUUUAACUUAAACUGGAGGAUACAUCUGCUACUGAGAACCAAUAGCCAAGUCAGUACAUUCUCUUCUCAGCUAGGAAGCCUCCACGGCGAUAAAUGAAGAUUAGAGUGUACUCAGUGAGACAGCUGAAAGGAAUGUGGGCAAUAGAGAUAAAGCCAAGCUUUGUUAGCCAGGGGCAUAUGGCCAGUUGGCAGAUGGACACACCUAUGUAGGUCAGCUCUUCCUCAGAGCACCUUUAUCCAGGUUUGGUCCGGUUCUCUUUCCACUCAUCGUUCUCCUCGAGGCCGAAGAACUGGACUUGGCAGCGGAAGUGGUUGCGGGGGUUGUGCCAGAAGGCAGCAGAGACCCUCAGCCGGCUGCUCAGACAGUAGCUGGGGUUUUCAUCAUCUGACUGCUCCCUGUAGGGCUGAGGGUCCGUGCUGACCCCAGUCUGGACUUCCUUCCCAUUCACCCACCAGCUCAGCUCCACGUGGUCGGGGUAGAAGCCUGUGGCCAGGCACACGAGCGUGGCCUUCUCGGUGCGGGAGAUCUCUGCUUCCGAAGGUUCAAACACAGCCACCUUGGCCAAGGAGCCUCUGGCUAUUAUCUUAUCUGAUCUUCCACAUUCACUCCUACGCUGGGGCACACAGGGUGUGUGGUAGCUUGCCCAGGAUGGCUGUAAUCCCAUGAAAAAUACUGCUCAUGGGCUGAGCCCCUUCUUCUUUCCAGUGCCCAGCAAGCUUGCCUGCCAGCUUUGCAGUCCUAGUUCACAGCCAGGCUUUGCAUUUCUAAAAGCAGUAAAACUUGGUUGCUGGGAAUGAACAAAUCCCAAGUCCGAGGGCCAUUUCAUCAGGGGGUUCAUGUCCUAAAGUCCUGGGCCCUUUUACAAGCCUGACAGAUGGGAGACAAUUUCUGGAAUUGUUGGAAGGAAUGACCUCAUCUGAAGACACGGAAGGAUGGAAGACACCACGUCCUUCCCUGAAGCACCUUCCUGUUUCCAGAAUGUACUUGCCCUCUAUUUGGCUUUGUUUUGAUCAUGGGAGUGAGGUUUUAGAGCAGGAACAUGGUAAGCCCAGAUGUUUCCACUUUAUCCAAAUUUGGGGGAAUGUCUCUGAUAGGAAAAUUGAGACACAGGUUUGGAAAAAGGCAAAUUCUGUGACACGGUGAUGAUAAACAAUAAGAAUGAAAAGGAUGGUCACUAAAGGAGAAUCCUUUCCAAAGGAUUCUCACAUAAGUUAGUCUCUUACAAUUUAAGGACCCCGCAAGGCUGGCAUUAUUAUCUCCAUUUUCUACAUCUCAGAGACCCUGAGGCAGUUUAAGUUGUGUUCUGAUAGCAGGAGUCCCCCUCCCCCCAAACCCAGGUGUUGUGAGUCCCAGUGAUUCUUACUUUCCAAUUUCCAUUACAAUUACUGGCAUGUGCCCCCAUCUUCAGGACAAAGCCUUCUCCAGCCAACCAAUCGAGUAGGACCUAUGUGUCCCAUUCCUCUGGCCUUGUCUAUAUCUCCAGCCCAGACCGCCCCCAGACUUGCCCCACAGCUCCCACCUGCCUGCUUCAUCCCAAGCAUGGUAAUGGUGUUUCUUGAUGGCCCCUCACCCUACCAUCCCAGCAUAGAUCUUGAGGUUUGAGAAAAUGGGGCCUCCAAUCUAUUUCUCUUCUUUAUACCUUGUCUGUUGCUAAGAUGGUGUGUUUCCAGUUGUAACAGUUUAUUCAGACCUAUCUCCUCUGACUCCUACCAAGCACAGUGUCCCCCAGAGACCCCCCUGCAGUGCCUGUGAUGCUGUGACAUGGAUUUCUGUCCUCAGGACUCGGGAACACCCCUCAAACCACCCCAAUCUCACCAACCUGGUCCCCCACUGCCUCUCAAGCCCUUAAACCACCCCAGGAAGACACACAUGGGUCUUGGAGACUAGUUGAGACAGAGAGAAGGAGGAUGCUGAAGGCAAGGGCAGAGUUCUGAGCUGGAGGUAGAUGCUGGGAAGACUACUAACAUAGAAGACAGAGCUCUUCACCAAAACAGGGUCAACGAUGCAGGAUUCGAGUCAGAAAGGGGUGGAAAAAAUAGAGAAGCUCAGGUAAGAAAGAGAAGGGAAGUGACACAUCUGUUCAAAAAAGUGGAGCUGAGAGAAAGAGUCCUGGAGAACAAUGAAAAGAAGAGCUAGAAAACACAAAGCCUGAGGACCACGCUCGGAGCCCCGCAGCCGAGGAGCCGCUACAAACACAGCAGAGCCAGCUGGAGAGGCUCCGGGGGGAGGGCGGGAGAGGCC
rnacentral:lncRNA from 1 species